rnacentral:rRNA from 1 species
CUCCCUCGUUGCUGACCCCAGGUUCGAUAGUACCAAUUAGGCAUCAUCUCGCCAAGAACCAACUUCGAUGAAGCGACGGGCGGUGUGUGCAAGG